rnacentral:tRNA from 3 species
GGGGCCGUAGCUCAGCUGGGAGAGCGCCUGCUUUGCACGCAGGAGGUCGGCGGUUCGAUCCCGCUCGGCUCCACCA